rnacentral:rRNA from 1 species
UAACGUCCGUCGUGAAGAGGGAAACAACCCAGACCGCCAGCUAAGGUCCCAAAGUCAUGGUUAAGUGGGAAACGAUGUGGGAAGGCCCAGACAGCCAGGAUGUUGGCUUAGAAGCAGCCAUCAUUUAAAGAAAGCGUAAUAGCUCACUGGUCGAGUCGGCCUGCGCGGAAGAUGUAACGGGGCUAAACCAUGCACCGAAGCUGCGGCAGCGACACUGUGUGUUGUUGGGUAGGGGAGCGUUCUGUAAGCCUGUGAAGGUGUGUCGUGAGGCAUGCUGGAGGUAUCAGAAGUGCGAAUGCUGACAUAAGUAACGAUAAAGCGGGUGAAAAGCCCGCUCGCCGGAAGACCAAGGGUUCCUGUCCAACGUUAAUCGGGGCAGGGUGAGUCGACCCCUAAGGCGAGGCCGAAAGGCGUAGUCGAUGGGAAACGGGUUAAUAUUCCCGUACUUGGUGUUACUGCGAAGGGGGGACGGAGAAGGCUAUGUUGGCCGGG